rnacentral:rRNA from 1 species
AACGAACGCUGGCGGCAGGCCUAACACAUGCAAGUCGAACGUGAAGCCACCUUCGGGUGGUGGAAAGUGGCAGACGGGUGAGUAACGCGUGGGAACGUGCCUUUCGGUUCGGAAUAACCCAGGGAAACUUGGGCUAAUACCGGAUACGCCCUUCGGGGGAAAGAUUUAUCGCCGAAAGAUCGGCCCGCGUCGGAUUAGCCAGUUGGUAGGGUAAUGGCCUACCAAGGCGACGAUCCGUAGCUGGUCUGAGAGGAUGACCAGCCACAUUGGGACUGAGACACGGCCCAGACUCCUACGGGAGGCAGCAGUGGGGAAUAUUGGACAAUGGGCGGAAGCCUGAUCCAGCCAUGCCGCGUGGGUGAAGAAGGCCCUAGGGUUGUAAACCCCUUUCAGCGGGGAAGAUAAUGACGGUACCCGCAGAAGAAGCCCCGGCUAACUCCGUGCCAGCCGCCGCAGUAA